AGUGGAUGGGGAGCAACCUAGUUGUGCGUGUGUAAAGGUAGUGCCAAGAAAAGCGAUGAUCAUGUUGAAAAUCAAUUCCCGGUACCCGAAACCGACACAGGUGGGCAAGUAGAGAAUACUAAGGGGCGCGAGGUAACUCUCUCCAAGGAACUCGGCAAAAUGACCCCGUAACUUAGGGAGAAGGGGUGCCACCGAGAGGUGGUCGCAGUGAAGAGGCCCAGGCGACUGUUUAGCAAAAACAUAGGUCUCUGCAAACUCGAAAGAGGAGGUAUAGGGGCUGACGCCUGCCCAGUGCCGGAAGGUUAAAGAAGUUGGUCAGUCUUAGGAUGAAGCUAGCGACUGAAGCCCCGGUGAACGGCGGCCGUAACUAUAACGGUCCUAAGGUAGCGAAAUUCCUUGUCGGGUAAGUUCCGACCCGCACGAAAGGCGUAACGAUCUGGGCGCUGUCUCGGAGAGAGGCUCGGCGAAAUAGGAUUGUCUGUGAAGAUACGGACUACCUGCAUUUGGACAGAAAGACCCUAUGAAGCUUUACUAUAGCUUGGAAUUGUGUUCGGGCUUCCUGUGCGCAGGAUAGGUGGGAGGCGUAGAAGGUAUUCUUGUGGGGAUACUGGAGCCAACGGUGAGAUACCACUCUCAGGAGGCUAGAAUUCUAACUUAAUUAAGGACAGUUUCAGGUGGGUAGUUUGACUGGGGCGGUCGCCUCCAAAAGGGUAACGGAGGCGUACAAAGGUUCCCUCAGACUGGUUGGAAAUCAGUCGAAGAGUGCAAAGGCAGAAGGGAGCUUGACUGCGAGAAGUACAGUUCGAGCAGGGUGGAAACACGGUCUUAGUGAUCCGACGGUGCUGUUGGAAGGGCCGUCGCUCAACGGAUAAAAGUUACUCUAAGGAUAACAGGCUGAUCUCCCCCAAGAGUUCACAUCGACGGGGAGGUUUGGCACCUCGAUGUCGGCUCAUCGCAACCUGGGGCGGAAGUACGUCCCAAGGGUUGGGCUGUUCGCCCAUUAAAGCGGUACGUGAGCUGGGUUCAGAACGUCGUGAGACAGUUCGGUCCAUAUCCGAUGUAGGCGUGAGAAUAUUGAGAGGAGCCUUCCUUAGUACGAGAGGACCGGGAAGGACGCACCGCUGGUGUACCUGUUAUGAUGCCAAUUGUAAACGCAGGGUAGCCAAGUGCGGAGAGGAUAACCGCUGAAAGCAUCUAAGUGGGAAGCCCACCUCAAGAUGAGUAUUCUGGUGUAAGGUCACGGGAAGACGACCCGUAAAUAGGCACGAGGUGGAAGUGCAGAGAUGUAUGAAGCCGAAGUGUACUAAUAGACCGUCGGCUUGACC
rnacentral:rRNA from 1 species